UGCAGUCGAGGGGUAGAGGAAGCUUGCUUCCUUGAGACCGGCGCACGGGUGCGUAACGCGUAUACAAUCUACCUUUUACAGAGGGAUAGCCCAGAGAAAUUUGGAUUAAUACCUCAUAGUAUUUUCGGAUCGCAUGAUUUGAUUAUUAAAGUUCCAACGGUAAAAGAUGAGUAUGCGUCCCAUUAGCUAGAUGGUAAGGUAACGGCUUACCAUGGCGAUGAUGGGUAGGGGUCCUGAGAGGGAGAUCCCCCACACUGGUACUGAGACACGGACCAGACUCCUACGGGAGGCAGCAGUGAGGAAUAUUGGACAAUGGGCGCAAGCCUGAUCCAGCCAUGCCGCGUGCAGGAAGACGGUCCUAUGGAUUGUAAACUGCUUUUAUACAGGAAGAAACACUCGGACGUGUCCGAACUUGACGGUACUGUAUGAAUAAGCAUCGGCUAACUCCGUGCCAGCAGCCGCGGUAAUACGGAGGAUGCAAGCGUUAUCCGGAAUCAUUGGGUUUAAAGGGUCCGUAGGCGGUUUAAUAAGUCAGUGGUGAAAGCCCAUCGCUCAACGAUGGAACGGCCAUUGAUACUGUUAAACUUGAAUUAUUAGGAAGUAACUAGAAUAUGUAGUGUAGCGGUGAAAUGCUUAGAGAUUACAUGGAAUACCAAUUGCGAAGGCAGGUUACUACUAAUAUAUUGACGCUGAUGGACGAAAGCGUGGGGAGCGAACAGGAUUAGAUACC
rnacentral:rRNA from 2 species